GCUUUAGUAGUCUAAUGGAUUAACGCGGCAGACCCGAUAUCUGUGAAUGCGGGUCCAAGUCCUGCCUAAGGUC
rnacentral:tRNA from 1 species